AUGCUGCGCCGGGUAGUUCACCGGCGAACGGCGGCGAUGGCGGUCCGACCCUGGAAGGGGCCCUUGCCAAAGGUAUGUCUUCCCAACUUGACUCUUUUUGAUAUGAUUCGGCCGGAUUCGUGGACUUUGGUGAAGAGAAGAAAAAAUGCUCGCCGGAAAGGUUCUCGAUCGGCGCCGGAGGUGACCGCGGCAGCGCUGCCGGCGGUCACGGCGAUCCAGAUCAGAGACGCUCGCCAGGAGCGUUUGAAUUGGCUCCCGGGCCGAGCCGAGCCGCGAGUUGUUGUUGGGCCGAUUGGUAAUAUUGGGCCAGGGUCCGGUGGGUAUGAGGCCCAGCCAGAACCGGUUCAGAUUGACACAGUGGGGACGGGCGCAUGCAGAACGUCACGAUCGUUGUCGCCUCCUGUAGCGCCGUCUAGGGUUCUGUGGCGUCGUUCACCGCGUCUGCGUACUACGGGGCCUGGCCGGGCUCGCCGCAUCCUUCCUCUCGGCACGAUGGCAGGACGUGGUGGUGCGCCUCCUCCUGGAAAGAGGCCGGCUCCGCCUAGCGGGGCGUGCCGUGCCGGUGGGGCGCCGCCGCCGGGUCAGCGUGCCGGUGGGGUGCCGACGUCUGGUGUUGGGCGUGGCGGCGUGGCGCCCCCUUUGGCUGCUGCGGGUCGCGGGUCUGGUGCCCCCAGUGCGGUGCCCAAUGCUCGCGGGGUGCCCGCAGGGAGGCCGCCGGCGCUGGUCUUGCCUUCGGGCGGGCGAGGCGGGCCGGUCAACAGUCCUCGGCCGGUGGUGAGCGGCGGUGCUGCGGUGGCCGCUGCGGGUUGGGGGGCUGCGCCACCCAGGCCGCCUGUGCCACCUCCGCCGUCGCAGACCAACGCCGUUGGUGGUUCUGUGGCUGCGCCCCGGGGUCAAUGGGGAGACGAUGGCUACGAUGCCUAUGGGGCGGGUCAGCACCGUGGCUCUUCGUCCACGGGUGGAGGUCAUGGUUAUGCUUGGCAGAGCGAUGGCUCGGCUAAGAGGCCAUUAUUGGGUCCUUCCUGUGGCUUCAUUGAAUGGGCAUCUGGUCCGGAUCAUCGGCAGCGGGGAGGUUUCCGUGGCCAUCGGGGUGGUCGAGGUGGUCGAGGGGGCCGGUACCGUCCAUGA
rnacentral:rRNA from 1 species